ensembl:lncRNA
AUGCUGCACAUUUACUUUAUAAUUUUUCAUCUGAUUCACCUGUCAGUAUCGAUAAAGGAGCGCCACUGGAUUAAAAUAGCAUGUCCAGCUAGCAUUGAACAAGGUCUAAAAUACAGGAGAAUCACCUGGUACAAGGUUGAAGAGGGUUCUGAUGUGCUAACUGGACUUGUUUUGAAGGAUUUGCUAAAAAACAUUACAACCCUCUAUAAGUUUGCAAAUUAUUCCUAUGAGGUGGGGGAAGACAACUCUCUUCUGGUGCCUAGUUCUGCUAAAGUAGACUGUGGCGUUUACAGAUGCACAUUAUGGCCUCCACUGGGCCAUUACAUUCAGGAAGGAAAUACUGAUUAUUAUUCAGCAGACUGCAUAAAGCCUCAACUACAUGAUCUGCCUGCCAGUGAUCGUUUUAAAUACAUCAUAAUCCCAUGUGUGCUGAUGGCUUGUGCUGCUGUUAUCAUGUUUCUGAACAUCAAAAUGAUUAAGAAAACAAAAGAAAAAUAUAAUAUCAAGAAAGAACUUGUGCAAACUGAUGAAAGCAUAUAAGUAACUGUUUUUUUUUUUACUGUAUAUGUAUUAAUUUUGCAUUACCACUUGACAUCAACAGUUUCUGGCUCAAGCAGCACAUCACACUAUCAGCUAAUGAUGUUAUAGAUUUGUAAAUAAAGUGCACUGUGUUCAUCAAAGUAUAAUGCAAAUGCACAUAUGGCAUGUAAAUGCAUGGUCACACUUUGUUUUAAGGUCCAAUUUUCGUUAUUAACAAACUGUUAACUAUGACUCAAUAAACUCUUAAUUUGCUGUGUUUUAAUAGUUAGUAGUUGUUAAGUUAGUAGUAAUAGUAGUAGUUGUUAAGUUUAGGUAUUUGGUUAGUGAUGUAGAAUAUGGUCAUGCAGAAAAUGUGCUUUGUAAGUACUAACAAACAGCCACUCCUUGCUGAUAUAGUGCACUCAACUGCUAUGCACUAGGCCUAUAGUAUACAGGGUAUGUAUGGGUGCUUGAAAUCCUUAAAAAAUGUGAAUUUAACAUAGUAUUUUCAAGGUUUGAAAAGUACUAGGAUUUUGUAUAAAGUGAUUGAAACAGCUUGAAAUUGCAAUUGCAUUGGUUUUAUGAUAAUUUGCUUUAUUGAAUAGUUCACUUUUUAGAUAAAAUGCCUUUUUAUUGAUGUGUGCCCUCUGAUAGAACAGAGUGGGAGAUAAAAACAUGCCAGGAGGUUGCCGUUUCAGUCAGUGGUGUCUUGAAAAUGACAAAUUAUGGUUAAAAUAAUGCAAAGUCUUCUGUAAAGGCCAUUUUUUUUUUCAUGGCAGAGUCUGCAUUUUGAAACCGUGUAAUAGGUAAGCAAUGAUGCUCCUGCUCAGUUAAACAAAAUCUUUUAAGACUGACGUGAUUAAAACAAAAUAAUAAAAUAAACAUUCAAAGUCAAAAAUGCAGCAGGGGCGUUUUUCGAUUAAAGCAUCUCUGAAGUGAACUGACUGCCUUCCGAAAAGUUUCAGUGGCAUUUUCAUUUCAUCUGACCAAUAAUGUCUGAUAAAGUAGCAUUUAUGAGAGCAGGCGGCUUUGUUUACAGUCCUUAACAGCUGUAUUUCUGCCUUUCCAAAAGUGCCACCUAGUGGCAGAAGAUGAAUAUGCAUUUUUAAUAAGCCCCUUUGCUGUUUUUAUUCAGAAAAAGCUAAUGUGCCUUAAAAAAAUCUAAAAAAUUCAGACAGUUAGGUAUGUGCUUUAAAUUAAAACAAUUCUUUAUAUCUUUGUCAUCCCAUUUCUGAUUUAAAAAAAAAUGUUUAAAGUCUGAAAUGUGAGGUUUGUCACUUUGUAAAACUUUAUUUGUGAAAAUCUGUAUUUGAAAAUGUAUUUUGCAAAUCAUGUGUUUUUGCAGGCAUUUUAUGGUUUUAUAUGUUAUGGCUACCAUAGACAUUGCCCUACCGUGCUCAUACAGUAUUUAUUUUAUUUGUGCAGGUCUUAAAAAGCCUUAAAUGUUAUUUUAAAAUACUACAGAUACCCUGUAAAUUCUUUAUUUAUUUAUUUAUUUAUUUAUUUAUUUUUUAUUGUAAAAAAAAAAAAAAAAAAAACUAUACACUGUAUGUUGGCUAUUUACAUUGUGCAAUGUUAUAUGCAAUCCAGACAGGUGGUUUUUAAUAGCACAAUAACAUAUUUAAAGUGAGAAACUCAAGCCUGUAAACAUGUAAUUCGCCACAGUUUAAAGUGCUGGAAAAGCUUGAAAAUGCACCUUGAAAGUGCUUGAAUUUGGAAAAGAUGUAAGAACCCCAUAGAGGGAUUAGUGAAUGAGUGAAUUUCAGAAACAUUUUUCGCAGGUAGUCCAUUUUAUUUCCGCUAUAGUUUAACCAGGCAAAUACUAUUGCAUUGACAGGGUAAUCAGCCAAUCAGUGAUGAUCAGAACAUAAUGGUCGGGUAUAACUGCAAUGACAGGUCCAUCAUAGUGUGCAUCUUCUCUUGUAUCUCUCUUUCUCUCUCUCUUCACAUAUUGGUGUCGUUUUUGGACAGUGUCACAUAGAAAGAUGAGUGAACCAUUAGAGCUCAUUCUGUAAAUCUGAAUUCACCGAAAAUCACUUUACAAAGAAACAGCUUCACAUAACUAUAAAUACUAUGCUUCUAUCCUCACUUAUAUAUGAGGGGCAAAUGUUCAGCCCUUAGUAUAAUACAAUGUCAAAACAAUUUACACGUUUUUUUUUUUUUUUUAUCCCAAUGAUCUUUAUGUGUUGCAAUUUAUCACAAUCCUUCCACGUUCAGUAUGGACGUGUGUUAAAGCGCACUGUUCAACCCACAUAUUUUUUCUGAGGAGUUUCCUCACAAGAACUGAAGAAAGCAGCCACACAUUCA